UCUGGUAGAUAUGUACAAUGAUGUAUUUGGAUUUGAAAGUUUGUUGGUCAAGUUAUACGAAUUGGUUAACCUUCUAGCAGUUUUGAAUUUCCUGCUGGAUAGAAAGGCGUCUGAGAACAUAACCGUCAUGUUGUUUGCUUGGGCAGCUUAUGUUUGCAGUAUGGGAUCAGUGCAAGCAUAUUUAUGUGAGCGUUUGGGUAAUGAAGGUAAACGCACCACCAGCUUAGCGUAUAAUGUCCUCGAACGUUACGACAAUUGCAGUAACGUCCUCAUGAAACAAAAGCUGUUCAUAUUUGCCCAACAGGCGGGUAAUAGAAGUCCGCGUUUCACAGCCUGGGGAUAUUUUGACAUCAAUCACGAGAUGAUUUUUAUGUUAUCUAAUCUUACUAUAACGUAUGUUAUUGUUUUGGUUCAAUUGAAAAUGCCAGGAAUGGUUUACAAAAGCACACAAGGAAUUAUUGCUGCAGGUGCGGAUUAAAGUUGUGCAAUUCAAACAUAAAAAUGACACAGAUUCAUAUUUUUGUUGCAACUUACUACAUUGUACAGCUUAAAAAAGUCCCAUUUAAUAAACAACAAAACAAA